GGCUCUUUGGCCGAGUGGUUAGGCGUCGGUCUGCAAAACCGAGCACGGCGGUUCAAAUCCGCCAAGAGCCU
rnacentral:tRNA from 1 species